GGGAAUGUGGCUUAGUGGUAGAGUGCUUGCCUAGCAAGCAAGCCCUGGGUUUAAUUCCUCAGUACCA
rnacentral:tRNA from 1 species